UAGGGAAUCUUCCGCAAUGGGCGAAAGCCUGACGGAGCAACGCCGCGUGAGUGAUGAAGGUCUUCGGAUCGUAAAACUCUGUUAUUAGGGAAGAAUAAAUGUGUAAGUAACUAUGCACGUCUUGACGGUACCUAAUCAGAAAGCCACGGCUAACUACGUGCCAGCAGCCGCGGUAAUACGUAGGUGGCAAGCGUUAUCCGGAAUUAUUGGGCGUAAAGCGCGCGUAGGCGGUUAGAAAAGUCUGAAGUGAAAGGCAGUGGCUCAACCAUUGUAGGCUUUGGAAACUGUUUAACUAGAGUGCAGAAGGGGAGAGUGGAAUUCCAUGUGUAGCGGUGAAAUGCGUAGAUAGAUGGAGGAACACAGGUGGCGAAAGCGGCUCUAUGGUCUGUAACUGACGAUGAGGCUCGAAAGCGUAGGGAGCGAACAGG
rnacentral:rRNA from 1 species